rfam:Oryza nivara chromosome 2, whole genome shotgun sequence.
AAAAAGACAAACCCUGGGUUUCCGUGUCCAACGUUUGACUGUCCGUUUUAUAUGAAAUUUUUUUAUAAUCAGUAUUUUUAUUGCUGUUAUAUGAUAAAACAUGAUUAAUACUUUAUGUGUGACUUAUCUUUUUAAUUUUUUUCAUAAUUUUUUCAAAUAAGAUGGACGGUCAAACGUUGGACACAGAAACCCAGGGUUUGUCUUUUU